UUAGGAAUUUUGCGCAAUGGGGGAAACCCUGACCCAGCAACGCCGCGCGAAGGAUGAAGUAUUUCGGUAUGUAAACUUCGAAAGAAUAGGAAGAAUAAAUGACGGUACUAUUUAUAAGGUCCGGCUAACUACGUGCCAGCAGCCGCGGUAAUACGUAGGGACCAAGCGUUGUUCGGAUUUACUGGGCGUAAAGGGCGCGUAGGCGGCAAUUCAAGUCAUCUGUGAAAUCUCCGGGCUUAACUCGGAACGGUCAGAUGAUACUGCUUUGCUAGAGUGCAGAAGGGGCAAUCGGAAUUCUUGGUGUAGCGGUGAAAUGCGUAGAUAUCAAGAGGAACACCUGAGGUGAAGACGGGUUGCUGGGCUGACACUGACGCUGAGGCGCGAAAGCCAGGGGAGCAAACGGGAUUAGAUACCCAUGUAGUCCCUGAGCGGGCUGGCAAGGCGCAU
rnacentral:rRNA from 1 species